GUGGGGAAUAUUGGACAAUGGGGGGAACCCUGAUCCAGCCAUGCCGCGUGUGUGAAGAAGGCCUUUUGGUUGUAAAGCACUUUAAGCGAGGAGGAGGCUCUUCUAGUUAAUACCUAGGAUGAGUGGACGUUACUCGCAGAAUAAGCACCGGCUAACUCUGUGCCAGCAGCCGCGGUAAUACAGAGGGUGCGAGCGUUAAUCGGAUUUACUGGGCGUAAAGCGUGCGUAGGCGGCUUUUUAAGUCGGAUGUGAAAUCCCUGAGCUUAACUUAGGAAUUGCAUUCGAUACUGGAAAGCUAGAGUAUGGGAGAGGAUGGUAGAAUUCCAGGUGUAGCGGUGAAAUGCGUAGAGAUCUGGAGGAAUACCGAUGGCGAAGGCAGCCAUCUGGCCUAAUACUGACGCUGAGGUACGAAAGCAUGGGGAGCAAACAGGAUUAGAUACCCCGGUAGUCC
rnacentral:rRNA from 1 species